rfam:TPA: Bos taurus chromosome 7, whole genome shotgun sequence.
GUUGCGGCAUUCGGGAUCUUUAGUUGUGGUAUGCGAACUCUUAGUUGCAGCAUGUGGGAUCUAGUUCCCUGUCCAG